GACGAACGCUGGCGGCGUGCUUAACACAUGCAAGUCGAACGAAGAGCGAUGGAAGCUUGCUUCUAUCAAUCUUAGUGGCGAACGGGUGAGUAACGCGUAAUCAACCUGCCCUUCAGAGGGGGACAACAGUUGGAAACGACUGCUAAUACCGCAUACGAUCUAAUCUCGGCAUCGAGGAUGGAUGAAAGGUGGCCUCUACAUGUAAGCUAUCACUGAAGGAGGGGAUUGCGUCUGAUUAGCUAGUUGGAGGGGUAACGGCCCACCAAGGCGAUGAUCAGUAGCCGGUCUGAGAGGAUGAACGGCCACAUUGGGACUGAGACACGGCCCAGACUCCUACGGGAGGCAGCAGUGGGGAAUCUUCCGCAAUGGACGAAAGUCUGACGGAGCAACGCCGCGUGAGUGAUGACGGCCUUCGGAUUGUAAAGCUCUGUUAAUCGGGACGAAAGGCCUUCUUGCGAAUAGUGAGAAGGAUUGACGGUACCGGAAUAGAAAGCCACGGCUAACUACGUG
rnacentral:rRNA from 1 species